UCAGCCGCUCCUUGGGCACAGCUCCCUGGGGGAGCAAGCUGGGAGCCCCCCGCAGCCCUUGCACAUCCUCCCUCCAAAAUUGCUGGUUGCACAGAUCCAGGCGCACAGACAUGGAGCAGCUGGCAUGUCC